GAAUUUUGAGCAACUGAGAUAUUUUUGGUAAAAUCAAACUGCUAACAUGGGAAUAGUAUCAAGUAAAAUGCAAAAAUUAUGCUAGUAAAAAAUGGGAGGAUUGGGUAGUUGACCCGCCCAAAUGUCUAGUAUUUAAAUAGGAGGCUCUAUUUUAGUUUGUUUCCAUUUAACUUGAAUUCUUAUCGGUUCCUUUCCUAUACUAAGAAUUGAGCACCCAUUUUUUUC
rnacentral:lncRNA from 1 species